rnacentral:rRNA from 1 species
AACGAACGCUGGCGGCAGGCUUAACACAUGCAAGUCGAGCGGGCACUUCGGUGUCAGCGGCGGACGGGUGAGUAACGCGUGGGAACCUUUCUUUCGGUACGGAAUAACUUGGGGAAACUCGGGCUAAUACCGCAUACGCCCGCAAGGGGAAAGAUUUAUCGCCGAUAGGUGGGCCCGCGUUGGAUUAGGUAGUUGGUGGGGUAAUGGCCUACCAAGCCUACGAUCCAUAGCUGGUCUGAG